rnacentral:lncRNA from 1 species
UAUCUAGAUAGGAACUUAUUCUAAGACUAAGAAUUAGGACAAGACUAAAAAUUUAAAGUAGAAGUCAAAUACAUGUGCAAAGUCUAUGUGUCUCAGAGGAACUAGAAAUAGAAAAAAAGAUGUCUUUGACUUAACUCAAGACUAAGAGUUGUAGUGGUAUUAAGAAGUUGAAGAAGUAUUUACUAUGAUUGCUUGUUUUACUUAUUCCAGAAGAAACCUCUCAGAAUAAAUCCGUAUAGGGGGAUUCGAACAUGGGGAAUGACUAGUUUCUUAAGCGUUCACGUUAGGAUCACACAAUCAAUUACCUCCUGAAUGUAUUAUCUCUAUUUCCAAUAUUUGAAAACACAAGGAAACUAUAAUCUCCUCCUUCACCUUAUCAGUCUCUUCCUUAUAGCAAUUCAGUCAUACCAAUAACUACUAUUUCUACCAAUAUAUUCACCCUCAUAAUCUCCAAUUGUAAUAUUGUACCCUUACAACUUCAGCACACAAUUAUUUUUGUUCCAAUCAUUGAAAUUCUUCAUUCAGAACUGCCAUUCAUAUUACAGUAUUUCACAUAAACACAGACUCAUUCUCUGUACUGAACUACAAUCAGAUUUCAACAUUCAAUCUUUCUUCUUCUCAAAUAAUACCAAUCACAUUUCCAUUCCAUAAUUCACUUCGCAAUAUUCAGAAACUCUUAAUCCUCUUAUUCAAAGAAAAUAACAAACAAAAGAAAAGAGGUAGCACCAAGCUUACCCCAGCUCACAACUAUCACAAUGAUGGUCCCCGGCUUACACUAUCAUAAUCUGGCACCUUAAUUAACUUCUACAACUUCUAUAUACUUUCCCCUGAUUCUCC